rnacentral:rRNA from 1 species
GACGAACGCUGGCGGCGUGCUUAACACAUGCAAGUCGAACGGAAAGGCCCUGCUUUUGUGGGGUGCUCGAGUGGCGAACGGGUGAGUAACACGUGAGUAACCUGCCCUUGACUUUGGGAUAACUUCAGGAAACUGGGGCUAAUACCGGAUAGGAGCUCCUGCUGCAUGGUGGGGGUUGGAAAGUUUCGGCGGUUGGGGAUGGACUCGCGGCUUAUCAGCUUGUUGGUGGGGUAGUGGCUUACCAAGGCUUUGACGGGUAGCCGGCCUGAGAGGGUGACCGGCGACAUUGGGACUGAGAUACGGCCCAGACUCCUACGGGAGGCAGCAGUGGGGAAUAUUGCACAAUGGGCGGAAGCCUGAAGCAGCAACGCCGCGUGCGGGAUGACGGCCUUCGGGUUGUAAACCGCUUUCGCCUGUGACGAAGCGUGAGUGACGGUAAUGGGUAAAGAAGCACCGGCUAACUACGUG